UACGGAGGGUGCAAGCGUUAUCCGGAUUCACUGGGUUUAAAGGGUGCAUAGGCGGGGAAGUAAGUCCGUGGUGAAAUCUCUGAGCUUAACUCAGAAACUGCCGUGGAUACUAUUUGCCUUGAAUAUUGUGGAGGUGAGCGGAAUAUGUCAUGUAGCGGUGAAAUGCUUAGAUAUGACAUAGAACACCAAUUGCGAAGGCAGCUCACUACACAAUCAUUGACGCUGAGGCACGAAAGCGUGGGGAUCAAACAGG
rnacentral:rRNA from 1 species